UACGUAGGGUGCGAGCGUUAAUCGGAAUUACUGGGCGUAAAGAGUGCGUAGGCGGAAAUGUAAGUUAGAUGUGAAAUCCCCGGGCUUAACCUGGGAAUUGCAUUUAAGACUGCAUAUCUAGAGUUUGUCAGAGGGGGGUAGAAUUCCAAGUGUAGCAGUGAAAUGCGUAGAGAUUUGGAGGAAUACCGAUGGCGAAGGCAGCCCCCUGGGAUAGAACUGACGCUGAGGCACGAAAGCGUGGGUAGCAAACAGG
rnacentral:rRNA from 1 species